rnacentral:rRNA from 1 species
AGGGGAGUGAAAAAGAACCUGAAACCGUGUACGUACAAGCAGUGGGAGCACAGGUUUACCUGUGUGACUGCGUACCUUUUGUAUAAUGGGUCAGCGACUUAUAUUCUGUAGCAAGGUUAACCGUAUAGGGGAGCCGGAGGGAAACCGAGUCUUAACCGGGCGUUAAGUUGCAGGGUAUAGACCCGAAACCCGGUGAUCUAGCCAUGGGCAGGUUGAAGGUUGGGUAACACUAACUGGAGGACCGAACCGACUAAUGUUGAAAAAUUAGCGGAUGACCUGUGGCUGGGGGUGAAAGGCCAAUCAAACCGGGAGAUAGCUGGUUCUCCCCGAAAGCUAUUUAGGUAGCGCCUCGUGAACUCAUCUCCGGGGGUAGAGCACUGUUUCGGCUAGGGGGCCAUCCCGGCUUACCAACCCGAUGCAAACUGCGAAUACCGGAGAAUGUUAUCACGGGAGACACACGGCGGGUGCUAACGUCCGUCGUGAAGAGGGAAACAACCCAGACCGCCAGCUAAGGUCCCAAAGUCAUGGUUAAGUGGGAAACGAUGUGGGAAGGCCCAGACAGCCAGGAUGUUGGCUUAGAAGCAGCCAUCAUUUAAAGAAAGCGUAAUAGCUCACUGGUCGAGUCGGCCUGCGCGGAAGAUGUAACGGGGCUAAACCAUGCACCGAAGCUGCGGCAGCGACACUGUGUGUUGUUGGGUAGGGGAGCGUUCUGUAAGCCUGUGAAGGUGGCCUGUGAGGGUUGCUGGAGGUAUCAGAAGUGCGAAUGCUGACAUAAGUAACGAUAAAGCGGGUGAAAAGCCCGCUCGCCGGAAGACCAAGGGUUCCUGUCCAACGUUAAUCGGGGCAGGGUGAGUCGACCCCUAAGGCGAGGCCGAAAGGCGUAGUCGAUGGGAAACGGGUUAAUAUUCCCGUACUUGGUGUUACUGCGAAGGGGGGACGGAGAAGGCUAUGUUGGCCGGGCGACGGUUGUCCCGGUUUAAGCGUGUAGGUGUGUGUUCCAGGUAAAUCCGGUUCACUUUAACACUGAGGCGUGAUGACGAGGCACUACGGUGCUGAAGCAACAAAUGCCCUGCUUCCAGGAAAAGCCUCUAAGCAUCAGGUAACACGAAAUCGUACCCCAAACCGACACAGGUGGUCAGGUAGAGAAUACCAAGGCGCUUGAGAGAACUCGGGUGAAGGAACUAGGCAAAAUGGUGCCGUAACUUCGGGAGAAGGCACGCUGACACGUAGGUGAAGUGAUUUACUCAUGGAGCUGAAGUCAGUCGAAGAUACCAGCUGGCUGCAACUGUUUAUUAAAAACACAGCACUGUGCAAACACGAAAGUGGACGUAUACGGUGUGACGCCUGCCCGGUGCCGGAAGGUUAAUUGAUGGGGUCAGCGCAAGCGAAGCUCCUGAUCGAAGCCCCGGUAAACGGCGGCCGUAACUAUAACGGUCCUAAGGUAGCGAAAUUCCUUGUCGGGUAAGUUCCGACCUGCACGAAUGGCGUAAUGAUGGCCAGGCUGUCUCCACCCGAGACUCAGUGAAAUUGAACUCGCUGUGAAGAUGCAGUGUACCCGCGGCAAGACGGAAAGACCCCGUGAACCUUUACUAUAGCUUGACACUGAACAUUGAGCCUUGAUGUGUAGGAUAGGUGGGAGGCUUUGAAGUGUGGACGCCAGUCUGCAUGGAGCCGACCUUGAAAUACCACCCUUUAAUGUUUGAUGUUCUAACGUGGACCCGUUA